CGCACUUGUCUUCGUACCUACGUUUGGUGCGGAUAAAAAUUUGCAAUUUAUUUAGUUGCGUUUAAGAAAAUUUCAUUCCAAUCAAUUUGCAUUGAAUAUUCCUAUUGAGGAUAAAUUUUAAAAAGAAAAGGUCAUAGAACCUUUUUUGUACAUACCGGAUUUGGGCCCCUGGAACAGAAAGAAGGAGCAUUAGUUUCUGCAGCUUCCGUAUUACCAAAAAAAA